GUUUGUGGAAUUUCACUGAUUAUUCUUCUGCUGCUGUUGUGUCUCUACAAACAGUCAAAGGAUUCCUGCUUUAUCAGGUCUCAGAGCACAAAUCAGAGCUCUGCUACAGAUCACAUGAUCAACCAGGAUGAAGGUCAACAGAGUGAACAUCCUUCUCCUCUCCACGAGAAGAAGCAGAAACCAGAGGAGAGCUGUGUUUACUCUGCUGUGAAGACUGGAUCAUCUCCAGAUGACGGUCUGAUGUAUGAACAGGUUCUCUUCCAUAAGAAAGGUAAAGCCAAGAGAGACAAA